UNGCCCUGUGUUUUCAGACUCCCGGGGU
rnacentral:piRNA from 1 species